UUAAGCGACUAAGCGUACACGGUGGAUGCCCUGGCAGUCAGAGGCGAUGAAGGACGUGCUAAUCUGCGAUAAGCGCCGGUAAGGUGAUAUGAACCGUUAUAACCGGCGAUUUCCGAAUGGGGAAACCCAGUGUGACUCGUCACACUAUCAUUAACUGAAUCCAUAGGUUAAUGAGGCGAACCGGGGGAACUGAAACAUCUAAGUACCCCGAGGAAAAGAAAUCAACCGAGAUUCCCCCAGUAGCGGCGAGCGAACGGGGAGGAGCCCAGAGCCUGAAUCAGCAUGUGUGUUAGUGGAAGCGUCUGGAAAGGCGCGCGAUACAGGGUGACAGCCCCGUACACAAAAGCGCAUGUGCUGUGAGCUCGAUGAGUAGGGCGGGACACGUGGUAUCCUGUCUGAAUAUGGGGGGACCAUCCUCCAAGGCUAAAUACUCCUGACUGACCGAUAGUGAACCAGUACCGUGAGGGAAAGGCGAAAAGAACCCCGGCGAGGGGAGUGAAAAAGAACCUGAAACCGUGUACGUACAAGCAGUGGGAGCACCCUUUGGGGUGUGACUGCG
rnacentral:rRNA from 1 species